rnacentral:rRNA from 1 species
AUGGAUUUUGUGGAAGGAUUACCUAAAUCUGAGCACAAAAACUUGAUUCUAGUUGUUGUGGACAGGUUUACUAACUAUGCUUACUUUGUAGCUAUGAAACACCCCAUAACAGUUAGAACAGUGGCUCAAGCUUUUACUGACAACAUCUUCAAGUUACAUGAACUGCCCACUGUCAUUGUGACUGACAGAGACAUGAUUUUCACCAGUAACCUUUGGCAGAGCCUGUUCAACAAGAUGGGGAUUAAACUGCACAUGAGCACAUCAUACCACCCUCAAUCUGAUGGUCAGACAGAAAGAGUAAAUCAAUGUUUGGAAAACUACUUAAGGAGCAUGGCUUUUGCUCAUCCCAGGAAGUGGCACACUUGGCUUUCUAUGGCUGAAUGGUGGUACAACACAUCAUUCGACACUUCCUUGCAAAUGACACCAUUUCAGGCUUUGUAUGCUAGACCUCCUCCCAUGAUUGUUGAACUUGUACUCCCACCAGUAGAAGGAGAUGAUCACCAAGCUCAAGUGGAAAAAGACACAAUAGCAUAG